rnacentral:rRNA from 1 species
UGGGGAAUUUUGGACAAUGGGGGAAACCCUGAUCCAGCCAUCCCGCGUGUGCGAUGAAGGCCUUCGGGUUGUAAAGCACUUUUGGCAGGAAAGAAACGUCGCGGGUUAAUACCCCGCGAAACUGACGGUACCUGCAGAAUAAGCACCGGCUAACUACGUGCCAGCAGCCGCGGUAAUACGUAGGGUGCAAGCGUUAAUCGGAAUUACUGGGCGUAAAGCGUGCGCAGGCGGUUCGGAAAGAAAGAUGUGAAAUCCCAGAGCUUAACUUUGGAACUGCAUUUUUAACUACCGGGCUAGAGUGUGUCAGAGGGAGGUGGAAUUCCGCGUGUAGCAGUGAAAUGCGUAGAUAUGCGGAGGAACACCGAUGGCGAAGGCAGCCUCCUGGGAUAACACUGACGCUCAUGCACGAAAGCGUGGGGAGCAAACAGGAUUAGAUACCCUGGUAGUCCACGCCCUAAACGAUGUCAACUAGCUGUUGGGGCCUUCGGGCCUUGGUAGCGCAGCUAACGCGUGAAGUUGACCGCCUGGGGGAGUACGGCCGCAAGAUU